GACGAACGCUGGCGGCGUGCCUAAUACAUGCAAGUCGAACGCAGUGGGGACGGGGGAGUAACACGUGGGUAACCUCCCAUCAGAGGGGAUAACACUUGGAAACAGGUGCUAAACCGAUACUGAUGGAUGGACCCGUGGGGGAGUAGCUAGUGGGUGGGGUAACGGCUCACCUAGGCCACGAGGCAUAGCGGGCCUGAGAGGGUGAUCAGCCACACUGGGACUGAGACAGGGCCCAGACUCCUACGGGAGGCAGCAGUAGGGAAUCUUCGGCAAUGGACGAAAGUCUGACCGAGCAACGCCGCGUGAGUGAAGAAGGUUUUCGGAUCGUAAAACUCUGUCGUUAGAGAAGCGGUAUCUAACCAGAAAGCCACGGCUAACUACGUGCCAGCAGCCGCGGUAAUUC
rnacentral:rRNA from 1 species